GAACUUUCCUUUAACUGAAUAAUUAUGUCAUAUUUAGGAAAAGUGCUUGUGGUAACUGUCUUCUCUGAGCACCAGUCUCAUCAACACGGGCCACAGUACACUGGAGAUAUAUGAGGACACUUGACACCCUACAACUCCUAAAAAUAACCCAGAUUUGACAGCAGUGCACACCCAUCAGAGGGCUACCUAUUUUACUUUGUGAUUACCCCAGAUACUUCUACAACUAACCCGCUUUGUAAGUUCUCAUA
rnacentral:lncRNA from 1 species